AGUGAACGCUGGCGGUAGGCCUAACACAUGCAAGUCGAACGGCAGCACAGUAAGAGCUUGCUCUUAAGGGUGGCGAGUGGCGGACGGGUGAGGAAUACAAUGGAAUCCACAUUUUCGUGGGGGCUAACGUAGGGAAACUUACGCCUAUACCCCAUACGACCUACGGGUUUAAGCAGGUGAUCUUCGGACCUUGCGCGAAUGAAUGAGCCGAUGUCGGAUUAGCUAGUUGGCGGGGUAAAGGCCCACCAAGGCGACGAUCCGUAGCUGGUCUGAGAGGAUGAUCAGCCACACGGGAACUGAGACACGGUCCAGACUCCUACGGGAGGCAGCAGUGGGGAAUAUUAGACAAUGGGCGCAAGCCUGAUCCAGCCAUACCGCGUGUGUGAAGAAGGCCUUCGGGUUGUAAAGCCCGUUUGUUGGGAAAGAAAAUCAGCAGGUUAAUACCCCGCUGUUCUGACGGUACCCAAAGAAUAAGCACCGGCUAACUUCGUG
rnacentral:rRNA from 1 species